rnacentral:rRNA from 1 species
CCUACGGGAGGCAGCAGUGGGGAAUAUUGCACAAUGGGGGGAACCCUGAUGCAGCGACGCCGCGUGGGUGAAGGAGUAUUUCGGUAUGUAAAGCCCUAUCAGCAGGGAAGAACAAUGACGGUACCUGACUUAGACGCACCGGCUAAAUACGUGCCAGCAGCCGCGGUAAUACGUAGGGUGCAAGCGGUAUCCGGAUUUACUGGGUGUAAAGGGAGCGCAGGCGGCGCGUUAAGCCUGGUGUGAAAGCUCGCGGCCCAACCGCGGGACUGCAUUGGAAACUGGCGCGCUGGAGUGCCGGAGGGGUAGGCGGAAUGCCUAGUGUAGCGGUGAAAUGCGUAGAUAUUAGGAGGAACACCAGUGGCGAAGGCGGCCUACUGGACGGUGACUGACGCUGAGGCUCGAAAGCGUGGGGAGCAAACAGGAUUAGAUACCCCGGUAGUC